rnacentral:lncRNA from 1 species
CCUUUGGCUUCCUUUCCUCCAUAACUGUGCUGUUUUGUCUAUCUUCAAUAGAAAAUAAUGUGCCUAGUCCUACUGAAGCUGCAGAGUAUUCUAAACAUUCCUUUUGAUAUUAGGUUUGAAGGCUAUAAAAUUGAAUGAUGCUUUUUAUCUAUGGGUCAACUGAAUGAACAAAAUGUGUCACAGGACUCUCUGAUGCCUAUAGAAAUGUAUUAAGUUUCUUGAUGUAUUUAUAGAUUCCUAGUUCUUUAAGGACUACCAAAGCAAACUAAGGAAUCCUGGAGAGUGAAGAACUUUAAAAUGGUAAGUAAAUAACAGGGAAAAUUAAUGUAACAUAGAAUACUUGCUAUUCAGAGACAUAAAAGUUAUAGGCUUUUUAUAUUUAAUAAAUUAUGUUUAUAUUAUGAAGUAUUAAAUAAAUAUGCAUAAUAUUGAAAAUAUGCAUGUGUCAUUCAGUGUCUAAACAGACCAAAAUUUGUUUGGAAUUAUUCCUAAGUGUCUGACUAGGUCCAUUUCUCAGGAAAGAUAAGACAUACUGGCUUAGAAGCUUGAAGAUAGUGAACUCACUAUUGCAUCAGGGCUGCAAGCUUGGUGCUGUAUUCCUCACAAUUUUUCUCUCUGC